rnacentral:rRNA from 1 species
GUCUGGAUCACCACAGAAACACUGGUUCUCGUUUGAUCACCGAAGUCAAGUAACGUAUGGCCCGGUUAGUACCUGUAUGGCUGGUCUACCGAGAAUACCGGGUACUGCGGACG